UAAAAAAGUAUUCCGGUGAAAUUUUUGAACGAUUUGAUCCUACCAAUAAAAGGGAGAAAUGUCUAAUUUGAAUUCGAGUUCUGGGUUUUAUAAUGGGAUUAUAGAAUAAUCAUGAUUUGUUAAUAAAAUAUUAAAGUUUGUUACGUAAAUCAUUUAAAAUGUCGACUUGGAAUUAACAUUAGCUGAGCUGGAAAAAAAUCGUGAUAUAUUUUCAAAUACAAAAAUUAAACUAUAAACAAACAAGAGCAAACUAAAUCCGAUAAAAAAUUUAUAAACCUCAGCCUGAGACGAGCAAUUAGGUUACAACGGAUAUCAUCAGACAGACCUACCGAGUGACCUUAUUUGGUAACGAUCGGAUUAGAUUGCAAUCAAUCGACCAACGAGCCUGUAUGAGUAAAAUUAAUAUUAAUUUAUUAAUUAAUUAACAUUCUAAAACUAUAUCAAAGCCUAAAACUGGAUCUGAAACUAAAGCCCUUGAUCGAGGUCAUCAGAAAACAACCAGUUGACGUGGUCAUGGUGACGCAUUGUAUUAUAUCAACCAUUUUAUAUACAUUUACAUAGGAUGAAGUCAUUGCUAGCAUAUUUAAAUAGCAUCGUCAUAUUGCUAAUAGGUCCACCAACAAGUAUAUACACUAGGCGGCUCUUUCCAUGACACAGUAAAUAAAGAGUACAAAGCGCAUAUUUUA